rnacentral:rRNA from 1 species
UACGUAGGAGGCAAGCGUUGUCCGGAAUUACUGGGCGUAAAGCGCGUGUAGGUGGUGGGACAAGUCUGCUGUGAAAGCGCCUGGCUUAACCGGGCGAGGUCGGCGGAAACUGUCCGACUCGAGGACGGUAGAGGGGGUGGAAUUCCCGGUGUAGUGGUGAAAUGCGUAGAGAUCGGGAGGAACACCUGUGGCGAAGGCGGCCCCCUGGGC